CGAAAAUAUUCAACCACACAAAGUGCAAUGGAAGAAAAGGUCGGAAGAGCUGCAGUCCCGAAUCAAUGAGCUGGAGGAGGAGAAUGCUUUGCUCAAGCAGCAGCUUGAGCAAAGGCCUUCAGCAAAUCAAGGUGAGAAAAUGGACAACACUGCCACCGACCCAGAGUCAGACACUGACUCGAGUUCCAACUCCAGCACUGACUCCACCGAUUCCAGGAGCAGUGAUACAAGCUCUUCCUCCUCUGAUGGCCGCAAGAAAAAGAGGAAGCACAAAAAGAAAAACAAAAAGAAGAGCAAAAAGGCUUCAAAGAACAAAGGACUUCGAGUGACAACAAUAUCGGAUGUUGUUAAAAGGUACCGCCGGGUCCUUAAACUAAUUCAAAAAGGACGCAAGAUGUCGAGGGCAUUCCUGAAGGCACGUGUUUCUAGAAACGCAGUUAAAGACACCGCAGCAAUCGCGGAGCUCUACAUUGCAGAGAGGAGUGUCCUGGAUGGAAUCAAAGGCGAACAGAGGCUCCUUCAUUUAGCAAAGCUCUGCCAGUCCAAAAUUGUUGGAGAACUUGCCCUUAAAAUUGAAGAGCUGAAGAGGAAAAAAAAAC
ensembl:lncRNA